rnacentral:rRNA from 1 species
GACGAACGCUGGCGGCGUGCCUAAUACAUGCAAGUAGAACGCUGAAGGAGGAGCUUGCUUCUCUGGAUGAGUUGCGAACGGGUGAGUAACGCGUAGGUAACCUGCCUGGUAGCGGGGGAUAACUAUUGGAAACGAUAGCUAAUACCGCAUAAUAGUAGAUGUUGCAUGACAUUUGCUUAAAAGGUGCAAUUGCAUCACUACCAGAUGGACCUGCGUUGUAUUAGCUAGUUGGUGGGGUAACGGCUCACCAAGGCGACGAUACAUAGCCGACCUGGGAGGGUGAUCGGCCACACUGGGACUGAGACACGGCCCAGACUCCUACGGGAGGCAGCCGUAGGGAAUCUUCGGCAAUGGACGGAAGGCUGACCGAGCAACGCCGCGUGAGUGAAGAAGGUUUUCGGAUCGUAAAGCUCUGUUGUAAUAGAAGAACGAGUGUGAGAGUGGAAAGUUCACACUGUGACGUUAUCUUACCAGAAAGGGACGGCUAACUACGUG